CGACAGUACACACAUGUGCUAAUCACAGAUUAAUUAUCUCAUGGUUUUCAGAUGAGUUACAUAAUUAAUUUUUGUAAUUAGUAUCUGAACACCCUUCCGAUAUCUGUAAAACAUUCGAUGACACUUAGAAAUUUUUUACCCACCAACUACAAGACCUAAACUAGGUUUAAAAAAGCAAUGUAAGGUGUCAGAAAUGGCGUGUGCAAUCUAUUUCGGUUGAGCUUAUCAGCCGAUAUGUCAACUAUUUGGUAGUGUUUCUUCUCACACAAUAAAUUUUUCUGUCAUGGCUUAUCACCAUUCGCCAGAGCAUAGAGGAUACCGAGGCAACAACAACCCCGCAGCUUGACUCAGCUAUAAUACUGUGUCUCCAAUGGCGGAUCUCGUCACGGUUUACAAGACCAGCUCAAGGCUUCUCGUGUGAGUGCGUGCGUGGUGCGCGUGUUGCAACUUGCAAGCCGGAGCAGGUGGAGCAAUGAGCUCCAUGGUGGCACCGCCGUGCCACCUCGUGGCCGUACGUGCCGUACCCGGGCCGCGGCCACGUCAACGCGAUGGUG
rnacentral:lncRNA from 1 species